rnacentral:rRNA from 1 species
GACGAACGCUGGCGGCGUGCCUAAUACAUGCAAGUCGAACGCACAGUUUAUACCGUAGCUUGCUACACCAUAGACUGUGAGUUGCGAACGGGUGAGUAACGCGUAGGUAACCUGCCUGGUAGCGGGGGGUAACUAUUGGUAACGAUAGCUAAUACCGCAUAAUAUUGAUUAUUGCAUGAUAAUUGAUUGAAAGAUGCUAUUGCAUCACUACCAGAUGGACCUGCGUUGUAUUAGCUAGUAGGUGAGGUAACGGCUCACCUAGGCGACGAUACAUAGCCGACCUGAGAGGGUGAUCGGCCACACUGGGACUGAGACACGGCCCAGACUCCUACGGGAGGCAGCAGUAGGGAAUCUUCGGCAAUGGGCGAAAGUCUGACCGAGCAACGCCGCGUGAGUGAAGAAGGUUUUCGGAUCGUAAAGCUCUGUUGUAAGGGAAGAACGGGUGUGAGAGUGGAAAGUUCACACUGUGACGGUAUCGGACCAGAAAAGGACGGCGAACUACGU